GCUAGAUGAGGAAGGGCUAGAUGAGGAAGGGCUAGAUGAGGAAGGGCUAGAUGAGGAAGGCUAGAUGAGGAAGGCUAGAUGAGGAAGGGCUAGAUGAGGAAGGCUAGAUGAGGAAGGGCUAGAUGAGGAAGGCUAGAUGAGGAAGGGCUAGUUGGGCAGGGCUAGAUGAGGAAGGCUAGAUGAGGAAGGCUAGAUGAGGAAGGCUAGUUGGGCAGGGCUAGAUGAGGAAGGCUAGAUGAGGAAGGCUAGAUGAGGAAGGCUAUUUGGGUCGGGCUAGAUGAGGAAGGCUAGAUGAUGAAGGGCUAGAUGGGAAGGGCUAGAUGAGGAAGGGCUAGAUGAGGAAGGCUAGAUGAGGAAGGCUAGAUGAGGAAGGGCAGAUGAGGAAGGCUAGAUGAGGAAGGGCUAGAUGAGGAAGGGCUAGUUGGGCAGGGCUAGAUGAGGAAGGGCUAGAUGAGGAAGGCUAGAUGAGGAAGGCUAGUUGGGCAGGGCUAGAUGAGGAAGGCUAGAUGAGGAAGGCUAGAUGGGAAGGGCUAGAUGAUGAAUGCUAGUUGGGAAGGGCUAGAUGAUGAAGGCUAGAUGAUGAAGGGCUAUGUGAGGAAGG
ensembl:lncRNA